GAUGAAGAAGUAGUGAAAUGCGAUACUUGGUGUGAAUUGCAGAAUCCCGUGAACCAUCGAGUCUUUGAACGCAAGUUGCGCCCGAAGCCAUCAGGUUGAGGGCACGUCUGCCUGGGCGUCACAUAUCGUUGCCCAAUGCCUAUUGCAGUGCAAUAGGAAUUUCUAGGGCGAAUGAUGGCUUCCCGUGAGCGUUGUUGCCUCGCGGUUGGUUGAAAAUCGAGUCCUUGGUAGGGUGUGCCAUGGUAGAUGGUGGUCGAGUUAGAACGAUACCGAUCAUGUGCAUGCUCCCCAAAAUAUGGCCUCUAUGACCCACACGCGUCUUUUGACGCUCAUGACGAGACCUCAGGUCAGGCGGGGCUACCCGCUGAAUUUAAGCAUAUCAAUAAGCGGAGGA
rnacentral:misc_RNA from 1 species